AACGAACGCUGGCGGCAUGCCUAACACAUGCAAGUCGAACGAGACCUUCGGGUCUAGUGGCGCACGGGUGCGUAACGCGUGGGAACCUGCCCUUAGGUUCGGAAUAACUCCCCGAAAGGGGUGCUAAUGCCGGAUAAUGUCUUCGGACCAAAGAUUUAUCGCCUUUGGAUGGGCCCGCGUUGGAUUAGCUAGUUGGUAGGGUAAAAGCCUACCAAGGCGACGAUCCAUAGCUGGUCUGAGAGGAUGAUCAGCCACACUGGGACUGAGACACGGCCCAGACUCCUACGGGAGGGAGCAGUGGGGAAUAUUGGACAAUGGGCGAAAGCCUGAUCCAGCAAUGCCGCGUGAGUGAUGAAGGCCUUAGGGUUGUAAAGCUCUUUUACCCGGGAUGAUAAUGACAGUACCGGGAGAAUAAGCUCCGGCUAACUCCGUG
rnacentral:rRNA from 1 species